GUCCCUAUCGAUUAGUGGUUAAAUCAUCACGUUGUGGCCGUGAAGCCGCCGGCUCGACUCCGGCUAGGGACA
rnacentral:tRNA from 1 species